UACAGAGGGUGCAAGCGUUGUUCGGAAUUAUUGGGCGUAAAGGGCGCGUAGGCGGUGCGGUAAGUCUGUAGUGAAAUCUCUGGGCUCAACUCAGAGUCUGCUGCAGAAACUGCCGUGCUUGAGUGUGGGAGAGGUGAGUGGAAUUCCCGGUGUAGCGGUGAAAUGCGUAGAUAUCAGGAGGAACACCAGCGGCGAAGGCGGACCUCUGGACCGUUGCUGACGCUGAGACGCGAAAGCGUGGGGAGCAAGCCGG
rnacentral:rRNA from 1 species